CCUGGCAGACUGCUCGCUGUGUGUGUGUGUGUGUGUGUGUGUGUGUGUGUGUGUGUGUGUGUGGAGGCCUUAAGUGCUGAGAGAAAACCUGAGGAAACAAAUUCAAUCCAGAAUGGCAGACAACUUCAAUUCAGAGAGGAUGAGGAGUGAGAGAAGAGGAUGAGAAAGAUCGAGGGAACAGAGGAUGAAGGAUGGAGUUUCUUGGCCUGGAGACAGAAAAACAGCUGCUGCAGAUGUAAAACACACACACACACUAACACACACACCAGAGGAUGGACGAGACAAUCAGUGUGUGUGUGUUUGUCUGAGCGCAGAUGUUCCUCAUUUGUUCUAAUUAUCGUUUCUUUGGUGUGUUUUUCUCUCACACUGAGCGAAAAUUCACUCCAGCUCACCUGGACACACAAUGAUGACGACGAUGAUGAUAAUGAUGAUGAUGAUGAUGAUGAUGAUGAUGAUGAUGAGAAUGGUAUAAAAGCAGAAUAACAAACUAAUUCUGUUGAUCAAACAUAAGAACUUGAGGGUAAAUCUUGCACUUAUACUUAGAUUUGAAGAAAGUGCAUAAAUAGGAUUAGGUAUUAGGAUAAGAAAACAUCCUGUAAACAGUAUCAUGAACCAAACAGUGGGUAACAGAGUCUGUGGGUGAACAAUGUCAAAUUGUUUAACACUAGCAGAGCCAGCACCACCAGCAUUUGGUCCCUCUUGCAGGUGAAUGUCCACACAUCUGUGCUUAAUGGAUUAUUCACUGUUAAAUCAUUAAUUUGAACCCCCCCCCCCUCCUCUUACUUUAAAUCAUUUAAAGCUAAAUCCAGUCCACUUUGUGUCUGGGAGAAUUCUUCAAUCAGUCAAACUCCAGACUACGUUUUAUAAAAUGUCCGCAGGCUUUUUUAUUUUGAUUCUGGCACUGCUGGACCAUUCAGGAAAACUUCAUUAACCACCACAAAAGUAACAGUUAAAAAAAACAAAUAUAAAAAAAACAAAUGUAAAUCAGUUACACUUUGGCCCAAUACAGCAAUGGACACAACUGUGCAGUUCUUAGAAAUGUUUAAUAAAUUCCUGUUGUCAUGGCGAACUAUUGCUGUUUCCAAAUGAUGCCAAUCACACAUAACACAAAAAAUAAAUAAAUAAAUGAAUUGCAUCCUAAAAAUGAUUUCUUCUCGUUGAUGAAAAUAAUCCCAAUUUCAUUAAAUUAAUUAGAUUUUCUCAGGUCUGUCUUUUUGAGUAAAAAGCUUCGAUUUUAGAGACAAAACAUCUGAAAAUCAAAACCUAUACAUGAUGUAAUUUUUUGGUUGUACAUAAACUUAAUAAAAGCUCCAAUUUAGGAUAACCAUAAUUUAUAAUAAUGUUUAAUCAUCAUUUAAAAACAGCAUGUAGACCAAUUAUGAAUGGCAAAUAGUUUAUUAAUGUAAUUUAAUAGUUACUUUACCAUUAACAAGAAAUGAAAUUAUGAUUAAUAAUUUUCAUUAAUUAUUAUUUGACUAUUUAUUAAAGGUUUAUUUAGGGUUUAAAUAUUGGUUGUAAAACAUCUAGAUUAAAAUGUGUGUCAGAAGCACUUUGUAAAUGGUUAAUAUUUGGUUAUUAAACCGUCUAUAAACUUUUUACUUAGAUGUUUUUUGUAAAGUUAAAAUUAGGUUUUUAAAAUUGUAAAAUUUACAAUUUAUUAAUGGUCUAUAUGCUGUUUAUAAAUUAUUAAACAUUAAUAAACUGUCUGCUUACCAUUUAUAAAUGGUCUAUUUACCAUUUAUAAGUUAUAGUUACUUUAAAGUGUUACCGGCUUUUAUUUCAUCACUGAACAACAUCAAUGCCAGUUAUCAAGGCGAAACAUUACCUAUCUUCAUCAGCUGUUUAUCAUGUUAAAAAAAGAGUUUUAAAUUAACUCUUUUACUGAAAUAUUGAAACAUGAGUUACCAGAACCAGGUUUUAAUCACAGGGACAUAUAGACUCAGCAUCCAAUCACGUGCCAACGCCUGCCUCAAGGGCGAGCGUGAUUGGCUGACAGCUCAUUAUCCACAUGACUGAGGCUCAGACAGCGUAACUGAUUGGUUUGCUGAAGGGAAAUGAGGAUGUGAUUGGUUCGAGUUUGGACUGAAAUAUAAAUGAGGCAGUUUGGUUUAAGGUGGAAUAUGCAAAUUAUAUUCUCUCCAUCGAGAACGACUCAGAAGAAUUUCAUUUCAGAGCUUUUUCGAUUUGUGCGCACUCGUUUUGAUGAGUUAAUAACACAACACUACAGCUGGGUCAUGUAAACACUUCGGUUUUAAAGGUUGUGUUUUCUCAGCAACACUCCUCAGAAACAAAGAACUCACACGAGAUCCUUUUUUAAGUUGAAAAACACGGUCGGACUCCACUUGUCCACCAAUUAUCCUCAGCUCGUUCUGAUAACAGCUGCGUCAUAUUCAGAAAGCACAAAGAGGAAGAAGAGGCACUCUGAGUGUUGGAAUAAUUGAAGAGUCACCGAGCAGACAGAAGCAGAGACAAAGAGAAUCAUAGAGCGCGCAGAUAUCUGAUAAUCAAAGUGUUUUCAGCGUUUUCACACACAAUAUAAAUGAGGACCGUGGUGAUCAAAUGGUUUUGUUCUGGGAAAUCAACCAGAGAGAAGAAAGACGGGAUUAAACUCACUUCUAUUCACUUUUUUUUUUAAACUAUUCAAAAUAACAAGCUUUUACCAAUUAAAAACAGUCAAAGGAAUUAUCAUUAAAGAGAAAGUGUUUGUACUUUUUUGAAGAGAAAACCAUGUGAGUGGAUGUUCGAGGCAGAAAAAAACAGGGUUUGAAGUCUCUAUCUUCAGUCCUUGCAGCUGCAGUCACUGACAUGUCGAUGUGUUUCUUGGUUGUCGGUGUGAAUUAGCAGAUAUGACAAACAGAGAUGUAUGGAAGGCUUACUCCACAUUUUCUCGUGACGGCAUCAUCCACUGGAAAAAUGUCAGAAGCUAUUGGAACCAUUUUAACAACAUUAUUUUGAGCUUUAGUAAAGCAGCUGUGAAGAGUUUUUUUUUAAAAAACAUAUAUUUAACCCUCUGCGUUAAAAUGGUGCAAACAUAGGCUGUAUAUACUACAGACAACUUGUUUCCACCUUCCGCCAGUAUACAGAUUUGAAGCAGAAAAGCGUGAAAAUCGUGAAAGUAAUUCCACGAUUUUUCUCCAUUUCCUGAAACCAACAUUGCGCAGUAACAUUGUACGCACUCCACCAUUUGCGCAGUAGCAUUGUACUCAUUCAGCGGGAGAGCCACCCUCUGGAUUGGAACAGAAGCUUAAAGGGAUAUUCUGGCAAAAAAUUAAGUUAGGGUCAAACCCACCAUAACACCGAGUUAGACAACCCGUCGAGGAAUGAAUGUUACCGACCGCUUUCUUCUCUAGUUAUACAAACUUUAGUAACGACCACAGAUACCAAUACAGAGAGCCACGCGCUCGACCAAAAAGCCACUCUAUAGCCACAAAUAAUGCUCCGAGCAGCACCUAACUUCAUCAACAGCACAUGUAGGGUCCCAGUAUAGACUGUAUACACUAUGGACAACUUAGUCCUGCCUCCAGUAUACGGAUCUGAAACCGAAAAGCUCCCGGUAAUUCCACGUUUUUUUCUCCACUUCCUGAAACCAACAUUGUGUAGUAGCAUUGUACGGACUCCACCAUUUGCGCAGUAGCAUUGUGCGCAUUCGGCAGGAAAGUCGCCAAGAGUUGUUGUGAUGACGCUGGGCUCAAUCAGUGGAUACCCCUGGUGAGCUACGCAAACUUUGUACGCCAACAGGCUGUAUCAAGUGUCAAUCAUAGAAAACAUGAACCCCCUAAUAACUUUUAAAAACGGAGCUGCACAAAAAGAAGAGGACUUGAGCACAAACAAGUCUUACAAUAACUAUAUGUCAACAUUGCAAGCAGGGGGGAGAAAAAUUCAUUUUCUGUUUAGUAAAUUUUUAAAGUUUGUCCACAGCUCCAUAAGGAUGGCUGGCAUAGGCAGGAUUUAUGACCCAAACUGCAGCCUUUCACCAGAGGGUGCUGUUCUCAGAGUGGCUUCACCCAACAAGGACGCAGAAUCUGUCCAUUCUUUGUCCAGUCUAUGCGUGCAGAACUUUAACAUUAAAAAAAAAAGUUAUGAAAUCCUGCUGAAAGAGAAACCGCACAGUUCUUAUGCCUUAAACAUGAGCAUACUUUCUCAGUUUGACACAGCUGCAACUUUAAGAACGAUAAUGUUGACCCAUAUUGGCAUAAGCAGCCACUAGGUUGUAUAUUAGCAGUUUUUCAGGUCAAUCUGCUGCCUCCAAAUAGCCCAAAUAAAAUCUAAUUACACUUUUAAAUGCGAUAAUAAGAGAGUAUAAAUGGUGUUCCGGCCUGCCCCAGUCUCCCCGAACGUAGUAAUGGAAACCCUCUGCAGGACAGACAGCAGAUGAGCUGAGGAAAUCUGAUGUAACCAUGCUUAAAUUUUUAAUAACUGGGUUUCCCUCCACAGGAAAUCACUCACUCGUGCAACUAAAUGAAAAUCUGACUGAAAACAGUCCAUCAGCCCGUGGCUAAAACGGAAAGUCGAUAAAAUAUCUUGUAGGAGCUACGUUCCCCUUCAGAUGAUUUUAAUCUCUAAAUAUUGAGUAACAUCCCUGACACAUAUUUACCGUCCUGUUUAUCUGCUGCUUGAUUAACCUCGAAUGAUGUUUCACUUUAGGUUUUAAUGCGAGUCCAGAGCGACUUGCGGAAAGCAAACAGCAUUUAAAUGUCACUUUUGGUCGGAGAUAAUCAGCAGCUUUGAGGGGGGGUGAGGUGGACAGGAGGGAGGUAACACAAAUGCUAUUGUUCUUUUUGUAGUGGGAGUGAAGAGGAAAGGAAAAACACUCCCUCUGGAGAUAAUUGCCUCCAGGAUGAAAGUGUAAAACAGAAACACUUGUGCGGUUGAGAGAAGAAGAAACAGCGGGGUGAGGGCAGGUGGUUUUGACUCGACUCAUUAAGUUUAACAAGAGGAGAAGAAGUAAACACCUUUUAUUGCUGGGGAACAGAGUUUGCCUCCAGUGUGAAACCGGUAAGAACACCAGAAAAAGUCAAAGGUCAAAGUUCAAAUGGUUUGCUCAAUAUCUGGAAUAGGUAGACAAUUUAACCUUUGUUUGUUUCUUGGCUUCCUUACAUCCUUGUUUAUUCCUUUACCGUCCCUCCAUCCUUUAUCUGCAUAUUUGGUGAUUUUUAAAGUAAGUAAGCUCCCGUCCUUUUGAAGUUGAUUUCACCUGACAUGAGUUAAAUUUCUUCUUUAGAAAACGUCUUUCCUAUCUUUGUUUGAAUGGACUCCAUAUUCAGGGGCAGCAGCCUGCAAAGGUCGAAUUUAAAGGCUGAAUGCGUCACGGUGGCACGUCAAAGGCUGUAUCAUUUCAAAGGAUCCUUCAAAUGUGGUCCACAAAUGUGUCCUACUUCCCCAGGCCACCAAGGCUGCAUCAGGUGCAUCCUUUGUCCCAAUUAUCCUGUGAUUCUUCAAUGCCAAUACAAUCAAGAUAGAGGACUCUCAAAGUAUUUGGUUUGAGCUCAGUAGGGAGCUGCACAAAUUCAAUGAAAAACAGAAGCACUGAAAUUUGAAAUCAUCUUUGAAAUGGUAGCAAUAGCGUUCCAGUUGCAUGACACCAAUGUCAGAGUAGUGAUGCUAGCACGAAUCCUCCCAAGGGUACACCGUCUCAGUCAGCCUCACUGAUCUAUGCAGGCUACAAAAGCUGAGUCCCUUGAAGGCUGGAUUCAAGGGUCUCAGCAGUUUAAAGGGAUAUUCUGGCAUAAAAUUAAUUUAGGGUCAAACACACCGUGACACCGCGAUAGACACCCCGUUGAGAGAUGAAUGUUGUCGACUGCUUGCUUCUCUAGUUAUACCAACUUUAGUAACGACCGCAGAUAGCAAUACACAGUGGUCUCAGGAGCCAAGCGCACACCUCAACCAAAACGCCACUCUAUAGUCACAAAUAAUGCUCAGAACAGCACCUAACUUCAUCAACAGUAAAUAUAGGUUCCUAACCACAGCACUAGCCACCAAACCUCUUUUUAACUUUGCCUGAUUUCUUAAGCAAAGAGACUAAACACAACUCACCUACUCUCUCCCAGCAGCCGCUUGUUUGUAGCGAGACCCCGGGCCAGUCCAUUAAAGACUGCAGCGGGGUGACGCAGCUCAAGGAAGAACAUUUAUGAUCAUUACUUCAUGGAAAUGGAAUCAGACCGAGACGCUAAGGCAGAAGAACUACCGCGUCUGCAGUGCAAAAUGAUAUAUAUGAUGAUUUUUACUUCAAGGAAAUGAUAAAGUAUUGAUCAUAAAUGUUCUUCCUUGAGCAUAGUCACCCCGCUGCAGUCGAUGGACUCGCCCAGAGGUCUCUGUACAGACAAGCGGCUGCUGGAAGAGAGUAGGUGAGUUGUGUCUAGCCUCUUAGCUAAAGAAAUGAGGCAAAGUUAAAAAGAUGUUUGGUGGCUAGUACUAUGGCUGGGACCCUAUAUGUACUGUUGAUGAAGUUAGGUGCUGUUCUGAGCAUUAUUUGUGGCUAUAGAGGGGCGUUUUUGUUAAGUACUUGGCUCUCUAUAUUGCUAUCAUGUGGUCGUUACUAAAGUUGGUAUAACUAGAGAAGCAAGCGGUCUGCAACAUUCAUCUCUCGACAGGGUGUCUAACUCGGUGUUACGGUGUGUCCCUUUAUAUCCCUUUAAGUCUGCCCACAGUCUGGUUCUGAGCACCUUGCCUUUCUUGUCCUCUCCUCAUUAUUUGACCUUCUUGACUUCAUUUUCAACAUCCUUCACCUCUCCCUCUUCUCAACAUCGAGGUCUCUCUUUGUUGUCUCUUGUACUCUCCUCUAGGUACUUCUCUUCUUUCCUCCCUUUUCCACCAUGUCUUCUUCUGGUAGUUUCCUUUCAAAUAUGUACUCUCCUCCUCUCCUCUGUCAAACCUCUCUCUGUACGCUGUCACUCUUUCCAGCCUCCUGUAAUGAUGGAUGGGACAGUCGCCGCUCGGUCGGCUGCAGCAGGUUUGAUUGAUGGUUUGCUGAGCGAUAUGAGACACUGUGCAGUUUUCUAAAACCCACAUCUGCCUGAUAGUUAAAAACACUCCACCGUAAUUUAUAUUAGAAAUAUUUGAACUUUGUAGUUUCAUUUCUAAAAAACCUGCAUUUAGUUUCAAAUCAGGUUAAACAUGACUCAAACUGAAGAGCCUCAGCCAGACAAAUACGUACCCUUGGCACUGGUUGCCGUGACAACGGGCAACUUCUGUGCAACACACACGCAGAGUCUGUGAAGGAGGUGAUGGUUAUGAAUGACCCAGAUAUGAAUCAUAAUUAAAGGAGUAUUUCCCCCAAAUUAACUUUCUGUAACAAGGAGAAAUGGGCGGAGUGUGUGUGUGUGUGUGUUUGUGCGUGGUCAUGUGUGAUUUUGUGUGUGUGUGUUUGUGUGUGUGUGUGUGUAUUGUCCUUGAGUUCAGGCAGAAAAGAUGAAUGAGCUGUAAUUACGCUGAUACUGAGAUAAUAGCUGAAUAAAAAAAAGAGUAGAAGAAGAAGAGGGAGGAAUCCAAGGUCGACCACCGCAGAAGAAGAAGAAGUGAGGGACCAGAAAACUCACCUGAGAAAACUUUGAGCUCCAGAGGUCAGAAAAGUUUGUUUUUUGUCUGUAGUAUUUGUACAACUUUGAUUUGUCAUAUUUGAAGUAAUUUUAUAUUCAAACUUUCAUAUUUAACUUUUAAAGUUGUCUUAGUUUGGAGGUGUGGAGCUUGAUUUUUAGUCUUUAAUCUGUCUCAAUCUGAAUUCUUCUCAGGAGCUGUCAGGGGUCUAUAAACAGAGCUUAAUUCUUUCACUGAGCAGAGAGAGAGGUGCAGAGAUGGCUGCAAAGGGAGAUGGAGAUUACAAAACAUGAAAUAUUUUCCUUUAUCUGAUGAAAUUUAAUGAUUAAAAUCACUGACCUGCAGCCCAAAGCGACUUUUUCCAGUGGGAGUUCAUCUUAAGCUCGGAUAAAGAACUGCGUUUUUUUCCCCAAAUAGCCGUCAUGGACACACCUUCAAAAUAAAAGCGUUGUCGUCGUCGUUUUCUUUCAUUUUUCCGGGGCGCAGGGGCAGCAGCCUCAGGAGGGAAGCCCAGAUGGCCCUCACCCCAGUCACUUCCACCAGCUCCUCCAGGGGGGGUUCCCAGGCGCUCCCAGGCCAGGCGGGAGAUAUAAUCCCUCCACAUGGUCCUGAGCCGGCCAUGAGGUCUCCUCCCGGUGGGACAUGUCCAGGACACCUCUAACAGGAGGCGUCCAGAAGGCAUCCUAACCAGAUGCCCGAGCCACCUCAGCUGACUCCUCUCGACGUGGAGGAGCAGCGGUUCUACUCUGAGCGCCUCCCGAGUGUCCGAGCUCCUUACCCUAUCUCUAAAGCUGACCUUUUGACUAAAGGCACCUUUUGUUGGCCUUUUUUUGGCGGCUUGUAUCCACGUAUGAUGUGGAUGCUUAGCCGAUCUGUCGUGGUGAAAAAAGAGCUGAGCCGUACGGCAAGACUCUCGAUUUACCGGUCGAUCUAAGUGCCGACCCUCACCUAUGGAACAAAAUAAAAGCAGCGUUUUUUUCUUUUUUCUUUUUUUUAUUAACUUCUUUAAUGUGGCCGUGAAAUGUAUGACUCUAUGAAAAAUUUUGAUCCCAUGACCAACUUUGACCUUGGUUUCCACAAGACAGAGUCGCUCAACUUCAUCAAAUCACCCCUGCUACUCCACAGAACUUAAAGCACAGAGUUUAAAAGUCUGUCGACCAUCAGAUUCAGUUUUUCACAAUGGCUUUGAUAUAGUUCUUGAAUUAUCCUGCAGGAUUUAGAGUUUCAGUAUAAAAACAGCAGAAAGUCACAGGAACUGCUCUAUUGGAGGAACUUUCAGUGGCGGUUUAAGAAUUGUAAAAAGCCAAAGAUAUAACCUGUCCUAUUGCAGACCUGCACAGUCACAGACUUGUUUCUGACUGCAGAAGCCCCGAUCUUUAGACCUGUCCCUUUUGGAUUAUUUUGGUCUAAAUGGUUCAAUUGAGCGAGGACCAAAGGAGUCACAGGGUGAGAAAAAAUAACAGUCUCCGAAGACUGAGCUUUCGAUAUAAUUCGACAUCUUGACUUUCCCAGUUUAGGAACACAAUCAUCAGUCCUUGGACGGUGGCGGUUAAAGGUUUCUGUGAUUGUUAGGCUCCCUGUGGUAUCGGCUCUGUGCGGCUCAUCAGCCAUCAACUUUUCACUUCGUUCAUCACCACCCUCAGCAGGACCAACGCAGACUGAGAUUGUGAUAAAAUACAGAAAAUCGUCCAAUCCGGCCGCCUUACAGGAGGAUCAAAGAGAAGCUGCUGCUGCUGUGGUGUCCACCAGCUCGACUCAACAUUAAACCUCCUGCUGAGAGGAAGAGAAGAAGAAUGGGAGGUUGGAGGGAACUGACCUGCAGGCGGCCGUGACAGAGGAUCUAUUACAGUGCCGCACACACAGAGAAGAGGACUGCAGCUGAACACCAGCGCUCUGUAAUUUAUAUUAAAUGCUUUUUAAAGUCGUGCAGAAAAAGUGGAACACCGACUAUCAUCAGUCAUGAACAGACUCACAAACUAUAUCAUAGGAAACACUAUGUCCAAAAAAUCAAGGACUACCUUUCUUUGUCUGUCUGAACCUGCUCUCUCCUUCAUUUAAGGCUGUUUUUUUUUCUAGAUAAUUAUUUAGGAAUAUGUUGAUUGCUCCUGUUUUUUAUACUUUUUAUUUAAUUUAUGGACUCCUUGAUACUUUUUUAAAUUAUGAUUGUGAAUGCAGCAGAAAAUAAGUGCAGCAUUUCAGUCCAAGUCUUAAUUCCCUGUGAGUAAAAAUGUAUGCAGGGUAUUGUAUCCUAUUGUAUUAUAUUGUACCAAAACAUAUGAACUACUACUGUAUCAUAAUAUAUAACUAACUAUAAUAUUGAAUCUGCGUUUGUAAUAUACGGUAUCUUACUGUAAUAUGACAAAUUGUAUUGUAUCAUAUUGUAUUGUGUUGCAUUUUUCGAUGUCACCUUAUAUCAUAACAUAAAUCUUUUUGUAUAUUAUUAUAUCCUUUUGUAUCGUAUCAUUUUAAAUCUUAUCGUAUCACAGGUCAUAUCACAUCAUUUCAUAUUCAUGUCAUACUGUGUUGUAAGUUAUAUCACAUUGCCUGUAUUACAUCAUAUCAUAUAGUCUUACAUCAUAUUUUCUCACAUCUUAUCAUUUUGUUUGGUAUCAUGUUGUAUCGCAUUGUUUCUUAUCAUGUCAUGUUUAACUAGGGUGACCAUACGUCCUCUUUUACCUGGACAUGUCCUCUUUUUUGGGGGGCUGUCCAGGCUGUCCGGGCUUAUCCGGCUUUGUCCAGGAAAGUUUCUAAAAUCCCUCAAAUGUCCGCGGUUUUGUACGAGAAAUUCGAUUUUGUGUCACAUGGACUUACUGAGCUAGAAGCGCGUAAAAGACACUUGAUCCGACCGAAAAACCUUUUGGGAGGUCAGAAUAUGGUCGUCCUAUUAUAACAUCAUCUUCUUUCAUAUUGUGUUGUUUCAUAUGUUUGAAGUGGCCUAUUGUAUCUUAUCAUAUUUAAUAUUAUAGUAGAGUAUCCUAUUAAAGGAUACCGGGGCCUAUUGUAUAUUGUAUUACACUUAAUUAUGUCAUAUUAUUAUGUGCUGUAUGAUAUUAGUGGUAUUGUAUCAUAUCUUAUUGCUCAAUAUCACAUUUUUUGUACCUUUAUUCACUGUUGCAUGCUAGAGUAUGGUAUCUUAAAAUGAUUGUAUGGUAUGUUUCUUGUUAAAUUGUAAUCUCUCAUGUCUUUUUCCAACACUUCAGGGUGUGGACAUCAGGGACUUUUUGUUUCAUACUCAUAGGAUCCAAUGGCCAGUGAAGUAACUGGCACAUUACAUCCACGUAUGUUAGCUAUGCAAACACCACCUUUUUUCACACCAAAGAACGUAACCAUCCUCGCCUGCCGUCAUGGUUGGAGCCUCAGUGCUUUUCUUGUCUGCUCUUGUUGCCUCAAAGUUUGCCUGCGGGGCUCCCUCUUUACCUCAGGGUUUUUGAAGCUCCUAAGUUUAAAUUGUCUGGAUACUGAGGCCAAAAUCAUUGCCUGCCUCGAGCAAACCGGACAUUUUUUUGUUUGUUAAGGAAAAUGUUUGUUUUUUUGUCUGAUUAUGUUAAAGGUCACAUUUGGUCUCAUUUGUGAAACCAACAGUGUUCAGCUAGGUCAACGUCCUUGUUCUACGGCAUCCUCAUAGACCACAGUUGUUGACUACAUGUUAGCUUUAAUUCAUGAGGUCCAUUUAUUGUUAAAAUCACAGCUUUUGAGUCAUUUAGACGCAUCGAAAAUGUUUAUUGUGAGAAAUGCUCCGCUUGAAAAUAGUUUUUUCAUGUUAUGCCAUCUUUUUUUUAAUUUAUUUUUUUGCUUACAGCACUAGUUACUUUGAUCCAUGGUGUUUAUCUCUCAUGCAUGUGACUUCCAUCAUGUUCACUGAACUGCACAGUCAGUCAGGUAAGAUUUAAUCUGAGCUGUUCCUUUCAGGGAUCUCUAUAGAUCCAUUGCACUUUGAUUUCACUGGAGCCUUUUUCCUUAUUCAACGUAUUUCUGGGGUCUCAUGGUUUCAAUGUUGCAGUGGGAGUUUGAAGCAGUCCUGUGAUACCUUAAAUGCAUCAAAAGAUUAUUGAGUUUUUUGUUCUGAGAGGGACCGGAGUCAGCCAGGCAGUUUAAGGGAUGUUCCUUCAGCAUCUCUGCAGAGGAUUCAGCUGGUUAGAUUUAAAUAUGCAAGAGCAGAUGGCCAGAUCAUCUUAACAAAUCAAUCUCUCAGAUCAAUAUACGAGCUUCAGAGACAGCAACAAGCUGGUUUCCAUGUCGAGAGGAAAUCAAGGCUGCAUGUUUUAUAAGGAGCCUUCAGGGGGAUUUAAAUUACAUGUUUGGUUUGCAGUGGAUUAGGAAUUCAGAUGUGUUAUUUGUAGAAAAUGCUGCUGUGAGAAUGGUCCUUCAUAAAUCAAAAGUUCUGCAUUCAAGAUGAAACGGCUCAAAGGGUUCCCAGCUUAUGUACUUAUAAGCGACAUAGAUAAAAGUACUUCUAGCUAGAUAAAUGUAUCAUUAUAAUUCUUAUUAUUAAUGCAUUUUCCUACCUUUAUGUUUGAAUUUGCAUUUGUCACCUCUUAGUCUUAAUGAUGCAUUUUUAUACUGACAGCAUGUUUCAACAUAUGCUGAGAAAUCAUGUUUUGGCUUUAGGAGCAGACUUCGAUUUAGAUGUAAAAGAAGGUGUCAUGCAGCCGUAUGUUGUUUGAUGUUGAAAUUGAAGGCUUACUUUUCCAUUUCAGCAGCAUAUGUUUCUUUUCCCUUCAGACUGACAUGAAACUUAUACAUUGAGGUUUGAAAAUCGCACAUAGGGGGGUGUCCUAUCGACGCAGCCUGCAAAGUGUCUGCAGUCCCCAGCUAAUGGGCUUCAUACUUCUGGAAGGUGAAAGGUGUGAUGAAACAUGCGAGCAAACACACACUGACACGUCUGCAGCCAAGAACACCUGAGGGAUGAACUGCAUGUUAAUGCGAUGAAUCCUGUUAUAAUCCUCAUACCCCUCAGGCUCAGGGCUGCAUGUAAACAGACAAAUGACGGACAGCAGGGUGGACAAACAUACUAAACACUGCUUUUAAGAGGCAGAUCUCUGGGGCAAUUGCAAAAAGAAAGGACAGGAAAAAGGAAUCCUUUUCUUUUUAACUCUUUCAUGUUAUACUAGUAAAUUUUCUAUUUCAGGUAAGUUUUGAGUUGAUCCUGUUGUUGCUAUCUUGUUACUUAAAAAUACUUUCUUGCAAUUUUAAGUCUCAUUUGGAGUAAAAAGUUACAACUUAAGGGGAAGAGAGCCAUAAUAUAAACUUCAGAAUAGGAGGUAUAUUUGACAUCCUGUAUAUUUUAGCCUUUAGACACCGAACCCUCACUUUAACUCAGCUAGGCCCUCAGUUAAAGGUGGGGUAGGCAGGAUCUGAGGAGGUGCCAGUUUUUAGGAGAAAUCUUGAAUGUAAACUUUACCCCUCCCAAUCAGUUUUCCCCUCAGCUCCUCCUCUCCCCUCCCUCUCUGCUCCAGCAAGCCCCGCCCACAAACAGACACUCCUGCUCGCUCGUAUCAUUUCAAUUAAAUUCAGAUAUAAUGCAGAUAAAUACUUCAGAUAAUUACAAAUGGGGCCCAGUCAACAUGAAAGUAAAAAGCAUUGAUGCUACUGUAGAUGCCAACAGAUUAGCAGCAAACAACAUGUUUACAGGACUUCUACAACUAGGAUAAAGUGACAUAGUCCAGGACCCGAGGUCAACAGUUUACUGCUACAACACGCAGCAGGUCUCGUUAGACAAGAAACACUUCUGUUACAGACAAUAAGCUUACUUUGUUAAAGCAGUUUACCUGUCCAGCAGAAAGGUUAUAGUGUCCGUAAGAUCCCAAAGUGUCCCUCAUCAUUGUUGACCCGGCUUUUGAGCUCUUGUCCGGGGGGUCUACCUCCUUUUUAAGCGCCUGUUAUUCCACCAGAGUCUCCGGUAUUUACUUCGUUUUGUUGAUUGUGUCAGCAGCCAUGGCCAAAGGAGGAUUCAGACAAUUUUCUCUACUUUCUGGUUGGUUUCUUUUGUCGGAUAUUGUAGCAUGCUAAUUUUGUUUGGGCUCCUGAACGAUACGGGGGAGCAGCGUCCGCCUCACAACCAAUCUGUGACACCCAGUCUGAAUUUCAGUCUGUUGCAUAAACAUAAAAAAAUUCCUCACAGGAGUUUUUAAGACCAACAGUGUAACUUUGGUUGAUCCUUCUGUUGCGUUGUACAAUUUAACAUAGGACUCAAUGGGGAUUGGCUCACUCUUGUGGCCGGCCUCGUGUGGCCAUUACUAGAACUGCAGUUUUUGGGACUUCCGAGCUGGCUCCAUUAUUCUGCCCUGUAAGUGACAGCUUCCUGUGUUCAUAAAUUUUGGUUUUUUGAUUGAGUUUAUAAUCUGUUUGUGGCUACAGACUGAAGGCAAAUAGAGUAAAUCUCAUUAUUUCUUCAGACCGGGUUUCCAAUUGAGGUUGGAGUAAGGUUUAAUUAAAUUUUCAUGUGAGGGAAAGAGUUGCAUGUGAAGUCAGUGUGUAUAAAUAAUUUCUCCCCUCCUGCGUGUGUCAGACUGACAGCUGUGUUUCCUCCAGCUGCAGCAGCAGGUGGUUUGGCUACAGAAGGUCAAAAGCUUCACAUCCUCGGCGUUGAUUAACACACACCUCGCUGUGUGUGCAUUCACAUAAUGAGACCCACUGGCCUCACCUUUUGAGUCUCCCAUCACCCCCUGUUGGAAGACGUUCACACACACGAAAGUGCAGAAAUAGACACCUCUGUGAAUUUAUAAAGAGUUCAAAACCUGCUGUUUGAUAAUUUGGUGCCUCUGGCUCUUAAUUGAUAACCUGCAUGAGGUGUAAAUACUAUCAUCAGAGUAAACUGAAGUGUAACGAACCUUCAGGUAUGGUGUUAAAGGUGAAUAUACUCUUUGUCUCUGGUUUGAGAUACUGUUUUCCAAAGUUGAAAUUGAAUAGACUCCAAAAACGGUUUGCUUGUACAGCCGGACUUAGUCAUACUUUAAUUUAAUUCUAAGAAAAACAAAAAAAACUUCACUUUGAGUCCACUCUCAUUUUCACUCUCCAGUUCUUCCUCACUCUGAAUUAUCUCCAUAAAAAAAAACUAAAAGAAAAAAAAAAGAAAACAGAGAUUUGGAGUCGCCCACAUUAGUUCUGAUUCAGCGAGUUCACGUCAUCAUCAUUAAUCAGAGUUAGAGAUCCUGUGGGCGGUCCUUGAGUUAUUAAGGCCUCUGGAUGAUUGACAGCUGGCUGAGACAGACGUAGACACAGUGAGGAGUGAGAGCUGAGCCGUGUGUGUGUGUGUGAGCAUCUGCAUGCAUGUGUGGUUGUGUGUGCAUGUGUGUGUCCCUGGCCUGAGCUUUCUGACAGAGUGCUGAAUCCACACCUGGAUGAUUAAUACACCUAGAGAGAGAAAAACACACACACAAAGACACCAGCAUGUGUGUGGGUGUGUCUGAGGAAAACAGGGGAGGCGUGUGCACAAUGUGUGUGUUUGUGGUUGUGUGUAGGAGCCUCUCAUGUUGAACUUAAUGUGAAUUGACACGUGAAAAUACCCAGAAUCCCUCAGGACAGGUCUCUGAGCUCUGUGCAGAGACAAUCACUAGCUACUGACACAAACACUCGUACAAACACACACAAUCAUUUUGUACCUUUCUUUGUCCUUUACUGAGGAAAGACCGAGGAGAAAUGAAUGAAUGAAUGACAAACACCACACAAGACGACACUUUAUAGGCAUCAAAUGUAGAGAUAAGCAAAAGGGUCACCACCUGAGCAACACGUGGUAACUUCUAAAGAGUCUUGAGUCCAUGCUGUGUAUCAGAGUUUGAAAUGCACAAUCAGACUAGAAAAAGUCUGUUUAGAUUUUGAUAUAUUUCAAUAAACAUCAUCUUUUAAAGUGUUGAUGUUUUUGUUAGUGUCUAUGUUUGAUCAUGUUGGCUAUCUUGCUUUUCAACUCAAAAUAUACCUCACAGUACGCCCUCUUCUACUGGCUGAACAAGAUCAGCAACAACGAUCUCUGGAUGAAGACACAACAACUCCCAGUGGCAGACGAAAUUGGACGAAGAAGAUGGAGAUGGAUCGGGCACACGCUACGCAAACCAGAGUCAAACACCACCAGGCAGGCUCUGACCUGGAACCCUCAGGGGAAGAGAAACAGAGGCCGGCCUAAAAACAGCUG